GAAGUAAAAAUGAUAGGGAGUCGUGGGUCCAGCCGCGUUCAGAGCACGAGAGGCUCUGGGAGCUCAGUGAGGCUGCAGGCGCCUGCGGCCACCGGCGAACAAGAUAGGCUGCUCUGGCUUGGGACCCCUAGGCAGGACCACCAUCCUCUCCAGAAUGAAGACCCUGCUGGUGCUGCUGGCUGCCCUUCUGGGUGUUGAGUGAGCCAGCUCACUGAUGUGCUUCUCCUGCCUAAACCAGAAGAGCAAUCUGUACUGCCUGAAGCCCACCAUCUGCUCCGACCAGGACAACUACUGCCUGACGGUGACUGCGUACGCUGGCAUCAGAAAGAUCGUCACAUUUGGCCACACCCUGAGCCAGUCCUGUUCCCCAGCCUGUCCCCUCCCAGGAAACAUCAAUACUGGUAUAGCUUCCAUGGCCAUCCGCUGCUGCCAGGGUUUCCUGUGCAAUUUCAGCGCAACCGACGGCAGGCUGCGGCCCAGCGCCACCCUGCUGGGUGCCGUACUGCUGCUGAGCCUGUUGCCUGCCCUGCUGCGUUUCGGCCCCUGACCGCCCAGAUCCUGUCCCCGGCCCCCUAGCUCAGGAAGCAAAGCCCAGCCCUUUCUGGAUCCCACAAAGAUCUGAGAGCCCCUGACUCCUCACGUGCCUGAUUCGUGCCCUUGGUCCCAGGUCAGGCCCACCCCCUGCACCUCCACCUGCCCCAGCCCUGCCUCUGCCCCAGGUGGGGCCACCUGCCCUCACUUCUGGGGUCGAUGAUGUGACCUUCCUUGGGGGACUGUGGAAGAGAUGAGGGUCCCCUGGAGUCUUAGGGUCCAGCGUCAGGACCAAGUCUCGUGGACAUACAGAGAGAGCCCCCAGGGAGGCUGUGCCAGUAGAGAUGUGUGCCCGUGGGGGGUACGUGGGUGU